rnacentral:rRNA from 1 species
CCUACGGGAGGCAGCAGUGAGGAAUAUUGGUCAAUGGGCGUAAGCCUGAACCAGCCAAGUCGCGUGAGGGAUGAAGGUUCUAUGGAUCGUAAACCUCUUUUAUAAGGGAAUAAAGUGUGGGACGUGUUCUAUUUUGUAUGUACCUUAUGAAUAAGGAUCGGCUAACUCUGUGCCAGCAGCCGCGGUAAUACGGAGGAUCCGAGCGUUAUCCGGAUUUAUUGGGUUUAAAGGGUGCGUAGGCGGCAUUUUAAGUCAGCGGUGAAAGUCUGUGGCUCAACCACAGAAUUGCCGUUGAAACUGGGGGGCUAGAGUAUGUUUGAGGCAGGCGGAAUGCGUGGUGUAGCGGUGAAAUGCUUAGAUAUCACGCAGAACCCCGAUUGCGAAGGCAGCCUGCUAAGCCAUAACUGACGCUGAUGCACGAAAGCGUGGGGAUCAAACAGGAUUAGAUACCCCAGUAGUC